ensembl:lncRNA
UUGCCUGGUGGCAGCAGCACCAGGUCUGUGACACUUCCCAGUGAGGGCCAGGUCGGGAGGCCUGCUAUCCCGGCCCACCACGAACUCAUCCUGUCUCUGCUGGCUAAGAUUGACCAGGGGGUCAUCACUCAGACAUGCCCUGACCCAGAGGGACUGCUGACUGGACACUCCCCCACCAGCCGGCCAAGGGCCAGGACAGGGACCAGGACGGGGAGGGGGACAGAGCUUCACCCCAACCCCAGACAGAGACACGUCUCCUCCCCAGGACAGCUCACCCUGCAGUCAGUAGACAGGAAUACCCAUCAGUUUCAUCAGCUGCCUGGGUGGCUGGUCUCAGAUGAUCCUGCAGGUGAAGAAGUCGGAGGUAGAGGUCCUGGGCUGGCGUGGUUACUCACGGACUGCAUUUGUGAGGCCGGUUGGAUGUGCAGCCAAAUCCUCUGAAAACGUUGGAGGCGGCUAUGGUAGAGAAAUUAACAUUCAAUUCUCUGACAACUCUGGUGGACAUUCCUGCAGUCAACAUGCCAAUUGCACACUCUUUCAAAACUUGAGACAUCUGUGGCAUUGUGUUGUGUGGCAUUGUGUUGUGUAACAAAACUGCACAUUUUAGAGUGGCCCUUUAUUGUCCCCAGCACAAGGUGCACCUGUGUAAUGAUCAUGAUGUUUAAUCAGCUUCUUGAUAUGCCACACCCCUCAGGUGGAUGGAUUAUCUUGGCAAAGGGGAAAUGCUCACUAACAGGGAUGUAAAUAAAAAUGUGUGCACAACAUUUGAGAGAAAUAAGCUUUUUGUGGGUAUGGAACAUUUCUGGGAACUUUUAUUUCAGCUCAUGAAACCUGGGACCAACACUUUACAUGUUGCGUUCAUAUAUUUAUAGAAAAUGAAUACAAUUCUGCCUACUAGUUGCUCCUGACUGGAGAAUCGGCAUCCUCAGGCAGUGCUGUAGGCUUCAAACACCGAACUAACUGUCUGUAUGUCUGUCUGUCUGUCUGUCUGUCUGCCUGUCUGCCUGCCUGCACAAUGCUACUCCCUGUAGGGAACCAUAAGGUUCCAGAUAUUAU